CUAACUGAAAUUUGUAUGAAGUCGAAACAUUUUCCAACGUUUGUCGCUAGGGGCGCUGUUUCGACCCCAUACAAAUACGAGUUA
rfam:Bombyx mori DNA, contig: Bm_scaf157_contig40462, strain: p50T/Dazao, build 2, whole genome shotgun sequence.